rnacentral:rRNA from 1 species
ACACGACUACAUUAGAUACCCCGGUAGUCCUAGCCGUAAACGAUACUCGCUAGGUGUCGGCCACGGUGCGACCGUUGUCGGUGCCGUAGGGAAGCCGUGAAGCGAGCCACCUGGGAAGUACGGCCGCAAGGCUGAAACUUAAAGGAAUUGGCGGGGGAGCACCACAACGGGAGGAGCGUGCGGUUUAAUUGGAUUCAACACCGUAAAACUCACCAGGGAAGACUGUUACAUGAAGGCCGAGAUGAAGACUCUGCUAGAUUUUCAG